UACUGUCUCAGGAUCACUACUGUUGCAGGU
rnacentral:piRNA from 1 species